rnacentral:lncRNA from 1 species
GUUUACAUAUAUGCAAUGAAAGGUUUUAUGCACUCAGAACCCAUUUCUAACUCCAAUUCAACGAUUCCUACACUCACAACCCAUUAAUUAACAAAACCUAACUUCUCCCAAUUCCCACAUAAACCUGUUAAAAACAAAAUCAGAAUUCAGAACCUAUAAGAUUGCGGUAAACCUCACCCUUACCUUAGAAUUGCAGAAAUAACGCAACAGAAAUUGGUUCCUAAGCUCCUCUCCCUUGCUCUUGGCUUUUCUCCCAAAACUUGUCUGUUUUCACGUAAAAACGUUUCUCUGGUUUUUCCUUUCUUAACUCCCAAAUUGUAACUCCCUUAAUUAGCAAUUAACUCCCCACUAACUAUAUUAUUUAUGACAUAACCCCCAAAACUCUAAUUAAUUAUAUUCUCCACUUAUUCUAAUUAUUUAAUAAAAUAAAU